GGGCGAGUGGCGGAAUUGGUAUACGCGUAUGGCUUAGGACCAUAUGGAGUUAAAUCCUUGGAGGUUCGAGUCCUCUCUCGCCCA
rfam:Candidate division CPR3 bacterium GW2011_GWF2_35_18 TR67_C0002, whole genome shotgun sequence.